rnacentral:lncRNA from 1 species
CUCCAACGGAGAAACUAAUAAACGAAACGAACAACAGAGGAAAAGGAACGAAACGAACAACAAAAGAUCUAGCAUUACACAGGGCGGCCGGGCAACUGCUUGCCUGUCAUCAACAACGCGAACAAAGGAUCCUGGUAACAUCGCUAACAGAAUAAUGAGCUUGGUGCUCCUACUACUUCUUUUUCUUGCCCUUCUUCGAAGCCGACGGUGGCUCUCGCCGCGGACUCUUCUCCUCGUCACUGCUCGAAGAGUCACCUUUGCCAUCUUCCUCAUCAGAUACGUCGUCUAUGUCUGCGACGUUGAUGGUUACCCCUAGAAUUCCAUGAACAAGCGGGAAGCAAUAAUGUCAGUUCGACAUUUGAAAAGUAAGAAAUGUAUAGGAGUAGUGGCUCAAAGUAAAAUCUUAUUACCAGGGAGCUUCUUUUCUUCCUCCGUUAGGUGCGCAUUGUACUCUGCAAAGAAGUCGCUGCUGAACUACUCCUCCUCAUCAUCAUCCUCGUCAUCUUCAUCCUCAGACUCCUCCUCCUCGACUUGGUUGCGCUCCUUUCCUCCCCUCUCUUACCAGAGCCUCCUUGCCCAUCCAUCCUAACCGUGUGUGUGUGAGAGAGAGAGAGAGAGAGCGCAGU